GAGACCGGCGCACGGGUGCGUGACGCGUAUGCAAUCUACCUUUUACAGGGGAACAGCCCAGAGAAAUUUGGAUUAAUGCCCCAUAGUAUAAUUGAAUGGCAUCAUUUAAUUAUUAAAGUCACAACGGUAAAAGAUGAGCAUGCGUCCCAUUAGUUAGUUGGUAAGGUAACGGCUUACCAAGACUAUGAUGGGUAGGGGUCCUGAGAGGGAGAUCCCCCACACUGGUACUGAGACACGGACCAGACUCCUACGGGAGGCAGCAGUGAGGAAUAUUGGACAAUGGGCGCAAGCCUGAUCCAGCCAUGCCGCGUGCAGGAAGAAGCAUCUAUGGUGUGUAAACUGCUUUUGUACAGGAAGAAACACUCCCUCGUGAGGGAGCUUGACGGUACUGUAAGAAUAAGGAUCGGCUAACUCCGUGCCAGCAGCCGCGGUAAUACGGAGGAUCCAAGCGUUAUCCGGAAUCAUUGGGUUUAAAGGGUCCGUAGGCGGUUUAAUAAGUCAGUGGUGAAAUCUGGUCGCUCAACGAUCAAACGGCCAUUGAUACUGUUAGACUUGAAUUAUAAGGAAGUAACUAGAAUAUGUAGUGUAGCGGUGAAAUGCUUAGAUAUUACAUGGAAUACCAAUUGCGAAGGCAGGUUACUACUUAUGGAUUGACGCUGAUGGACGAAAGCGUGGGGAGCGAACAGGAUUAGAUACCCUGGUAGUCCACGCCGUAAACGAUGGAUACUAGCUGUUGGAAGCAAUUUCAGUGGCUAAGCGAAAGUGAUAAGUAUCCCACCUGGGGAGUACGUUCGC
rnacentral:rRNA from 1 species